CAAGGGGUAUUUUAUGUAAAAUAUUAGUUUUGGGGAUUAGUGAAAUGGUUUGUUGCCUUUCCCUUGA
rnacentral:tRNA from 1 species